rnacentral:rRNA from 1 species
CCUCCUGUACUUCCUGACCGGGAUCAUCUUGGGCUGGCUGCGAGGACGCAACGGAAGCCUGGUUGCCCCCUUCAUUGCCCACGGGCUGAUAGGAUGAUCGGACCUGCUGCCUCCUGUUGCCAGGCUGAAGCUACUGUGUAUGGGUGUCGCUUGUCUGUGAAGCCGUCACGCAACGCUGACCCGGUGUGCUUCGCGGACACCUGCCUUACGGGACCAUGAUGCACGCAUGAGGUCUUGACAAACCGACUGGUUUGUGGUACAAACUCUGCGGU